AUUGAACGCUGGCGGAAUGCUUUACACAUGCAAGUCGAACGGUAGAGGGGGCAACCCCUCGAGAGUGGCGAACGGGUGAGUAAUAUAUCGGAACGUGCCCAGUCGUGGGGGAUAACGUAGCGAAAGUUACGCUAAUACCGCAUACGAUCUUAGGAUGAAAGCGGGGGAUCGCAAGAACUCGCGCGAUUGGAGCGGCCGAUAUCAGAUUAGGUAGUUGGUGGGGUAAAGGCUCACCAAGCCAACGAUCGUGAGCUGGUCUGAAAGGACGACCAGCCACACUGGAACUGAGACACGGUCCAGACUCCUACGGGAGGCAGCAGUGGGGAAUUUUGGACAAUGGACGCAAGUCUGAUCCAGCCAUUCCGCGUGCAGGAUGAAGGCCCUCGGGUUGUAAACUGCUUUUGUACGGAACGAAAAGGUCUCUCUUAAUACGGGGGCUCAUGACGGUACCGUAAGAAUAAGCACCGGCUAACUACGUGCCAGCCGCCGCCGUAA
rnacentral:rRNA from 1 species